UCCGGAUUAGCUCCGGCAGUCCCACUAGAGUGCCAAACUUAAUUGGGGCAACUAGUAGUAAGGGUUGCGCUCGUUGCGUCACUUAAGACAACAUCUCACGACACGAGCUGACGACAGCCAUGCAGCACCUGUGUCUGGGUUCCAAAAGGCACUCCGCUAUCUCUAGCAGAUCCCCAGCAUGUCAAGAGCAGGUAAGGUUCUUCGCGUUGCAUCGAAUUAAUCCACAUCAUCCACCGCUUGUGCGGGUCCCCGUCAAUUCCUUUGAGUUUUAAUCUUGCGACCGUACUCCCCAGGCGGUCUACUUAUCGCGUUAGCUGCGCUACUCGUGUUUUACCACCAACAGCUAGUAGACAUCGUUUAGGGCGUGGACUAC
rnacentral:misc_RNA from 1 species